GUAUUGCUGGUACAUAUGUAUGAGAUGAUAUUUACGUUGGCCAUAGGAAGAAAAAUUGUUCUGAAAAAGACCCACAUGUUAACAUUUAAUAGAAUUUAAAUACCAGGCUGCCUUUUGCGAACGUAUUUCUCUGGAGAGUGUUACUUUGUGGAUGUUAUUACUAUGCUUCACAGAUAAGGAGAACGAAAUUUUGGAAUGUGAUGUCACACUAUAAUUGGAUGGUUACAUCAGAGACCUAAUGAAGAGGUACUGAAUGGAAUAGGAAAUGUGGCUAAGGAAUUUUUAGUACUUGAGAAAGCUCUGUCAUUCGAGGUGCAAGUCUUUGAAGCCUGAAAUACAUUUCAGUAAAGGUGCACAGUACCAGAUGGGAGCUGUAUACUGAUGAACAGAAGCUGUUGAUAAACACUGUUAAGCACCAUAAUGAAUAUAGUAGGCUCUGCCGUCUACUUCCUUGAAAAUGGAGGUCGCAAUGACAGUAUUGUGCGAUCAUUUGGAGAUUCCAUGCUUCCAUUGCAGUUUUCCUCGGCUUCAAGGCAAUUGUGGCAGCCGUGCAGCAGUAGAAGCAUAUUAUAUGAGGGGACAGAGAUCUUGGGACAUCAAGCACCACAUUCUCCCACUUGUAACAAGUUCAGAUUUAGCUGAGGAUAGGUGAUCAAGUGAAACUUCAAACUUAAGAUUCAGUUGGUGUUAUCUCUGCUGAGAUGUUGCACAGUUGUUUUG